CUACUGGAUCAUCAUUCUACUGGGUCUUCCUCCUCUCUUCUCCUGAUGUGUCCAGACCGUCACUUUCUCGUUUGCCUCAUUUUCCUCAAUAUCCGUUCUUAUGUCAUUGUCUUUUGAUUUCAUUUUAGUCGUCCUUCAACAGAGAUCGUGAAACUGGGUUGAAUACAAUGGAUCAUAAAAUAAUAAGCAGACAUGAAAUGACUAUUGAAGGCAAUUCCGUCUCCAUGGUUGCCGUUGAAUUGAAUUGUAAAUAUAAAAUAACUCCUUGGUGUGAUAAUUAGACAGUAAUUAUUUAAUGAAUAUAUGUAUUUUUAAAGCUAGUUUUUAAUAAAUUAUUAUAUAUGUUAUGUAUUUUUUCGAAUCGCGAAUUUAUCGAUAUUACAUUGGGGACGAGAAAAACAAACUCCAUUUGACGCUUUUGUUGAUAAACUACUGAGUAUAGAAGCUACCAACAGAUACGCAGGGUUGCAAUCAGGGCGCUUAUAUAUAUAAAGCCCUGGUUGCAAGGUUUUCGAAUCGCGAAUUUUUCUGGCUAUUUUAAUUUAUACAAAACGUUGAAGACAAAUCUUGCGGGACAAAGAGCCGAUGAUAUGUAAUAAUUAGGUGAUAGUUAAUGAGAGCGAAGCCCGAAUCAAGUAUCACCUCAUAGAAAUCGAGAGCGAGAAAUUUAAUUGUUUUAGUAGAAUCAGAGAUCAAACAUAAAAUAGUCCUCAGAAAAACGUGAGCCGGAAACCAUUUCAAAUUACAGCAAUAGCCUAAUAUACUACUAGUAUGAUUCUACUAAAAGGCUUUAGCUAUUCUGUGUUGGAUAAUAGUUCUUUGUAAUUUUAAUCUGGUCUGUUUAGUGUAAUUGUAAAUUAUUAUGUGCUUUUACCCUCUUUAAAUAAAGACUUCACUCACUAUAAACAGCUGCAAAGCCAGCCAUGGCAACUGGUCAUGCUAUGCAAAUAAACGUGCAC